ACUUUCAUUUUCAUUUCACCGAUGGCCGUCAAACCGAAAUUAGUGGUAUUUGAUUUAGGUAAAUUUCCAUUUAUAGUCCUUGCGACACUGAUCGUUGUAUCUAAUGGCUGUCUCUUUAGUCAACAAUUUUGAUACUUUAUAAUUAUUAAUCUCAGAAAGGAUAUCUGGAAACAUCGUUCUGACUGAGAACAGGAAAUAUUGGAGCUAAAAAUUUGAUUAUACAUUAUGGCCUUUCUGGAUUGAUACACAUUAUGAUGCCCCUUUUACAAAGAUCAGGUCAGUAUUUUCAUUGAGUUCUAUGUAAUAGACUUUGUCAGAAACUGGUCACAUUUCCCUCUUCAUAAGGUAUAUGAAUCUGUAGUAAUGAAAGGAGAAAUGAGCAUAUGAAUACAGGUACAAUGAAAAUGUGGAAUUUAUGGCAUGACUGGAAAUGGGUACUCAGGACUCCUGCAACUCUAGUAAGAAGCUCAACCUUUGAGCUACUUGAGCCAAUAUCCAUGGCCCAUAUAGCCCCAACCUAACUAGUACACAUAUGCACAUCCAAUACCUUACUUGUUAAAAAGAAAAACAGCUGAAAUUGCAUGUGUCAUUCUUGGGUUUGUGGAAUACUAAUUUAUUUAACGAUUUCAGCAAAACAAAUGUCAAAGAUUGUCAUGGAAAACAGGUGCCAUUUUACACUGAUGUGCCAAAGAUUUUGCAGAAGUUGAAAACAGAUGGCAUUAAAAUAGGUGUAGCAUCAAGGUAUUUUUUUUUCGUUUAAUUAGUAAUUACUGAAAUAAUUAUGAAUAGGUUUUCAACUAUAAUGAUGGCACAUCAAAAUGACAGAACAGAGGUUUUAUAAAUGCAAAUUUUCUUUCUAAUUUCUUUUAGAACAUCAUGUACAAUUGAAGCCAAAGAGCUAAUCAAGUGUUUUGAAUGGGACAAAUAUUUUGAUUAUGUACAGAUUUUUCCUGGAGCUAAAACCACCCAUUUUAACAAUAUAAGAAGAGACAGUGGAAUAGAUUACCAGGACAUGAUUUUCUUUGACGAUGAACACAGAAAUAUACGAGAUGUUUCCAAGUUAGGCGUUACAUCCUUCUUCGUUCCUCAGGGAGUCCAAAAUGAAGUUAUACGAUGUGGAUUUGAGAAUCACAAAAAUGGGGUCAAGCACAAUAUAUAGAGUUGUACUUAAAAAGUGUCCUCCACACCUCUGGAAAGAAAUCCUCAUAUCAGCUCAUAAUGAUGUAUUCUAUAAAAAUAUGAUAUUCUAACAGUUGUAUGAUUUUUAAUUCAUUGAAAAAAAUUUGCAUUUACAUAGUCAUACAUGUAGCAAUUCAAUCUAAUUAAAAUUAGACCUUUCAUCUCGCUCUGUUAUGUAUGGUUAUCGCUCCUUCCAAGAGCGAUAACCAUACAUAACAGAGCGAGAUGAAAGGUCUAAUUUUAAUUAGAUUGGUAGUAAUUCUACUUUAAGAGGGCUGGAUGGUCUCGGCCAUUUUUAGACUGUAUUGAUCUCCUUUAGAAGAAGAGCUCUGUAUAAUGUUAAAGGAAGAUAUCUAAAAUAUAUCAAAAUUUCCUUUAUUAAAUAAUAGUACAUGUAUAUAGCUUAACAUCUGAUGGGUAAUUGUAUAAUUCAUAUGCAUAGUAAAGUUACCGAAAUAUGUCUCGGGCCCUCUUCCCUGUUUUUGGCAAACACAAAUAUAUCCUUCCCCCCCCAAGGAAAAAAAAUACUGGAUCUGCGCAUGACCUGACCAAGCAGCCUUCUUAAGUCUCCCUGUUAUUACAAACAAUGUGGAGGACUCUUAAAAGUGUCAUUUGAUUAUUUAUUAAGUUUUCAUUGUUCUACUGUGAUAUGGAUGAAAGAUGUGGACCCUGUCCUUUUCUUUAUUAAAUCAGCAUUUUAAUCAUCAACAAUUUAUCUAUUGACAUUGAUAUACAUUUGUGUCCUUCUGACUGUGUAAAAUGUGAUCUGUAGAUUUGAUAAUUUUUAUAUAUACAUGUACAUGGGUUGACUAUAUUUUUUGUUUAAUGAUAUGAAAUAAACUCGUGAAUGAAAAAUUCAUGU
rnacentral:misc_RNA from 1 species